CGCACGGGUGAGUAACGCGUGGGUAACCUGCCUUUGAAUCUGGGAUAACCCCGUGAAAACGGGACUAAUACUGGAUAAUGUCCCCUUGGCUUUGGCCUUAGGGAUGAAAGGUGACCUCUUCAUGAAAGUUGCCGUUCAAAGAGGGGCCCGCGUACCAUUAGCUUGUUGGUGGGGUAACGGCCUACCAAGGCUACGAUGGUCAGCUGGUCUGAGAGGAUGAUCAGCCACACUGGAACUGGAACACGGUCCAG
rnacentral:rRNA from 1 species